UGGGCAGUGUCAUAGAGGGGUGUGACUGGGUUCAAAUCCUGGAGUUACUCCUUGUCAACAACAAUAAGGAGUAACUCUGAGAUUUGAACCUAGUCACACCCACCCCCCAAUGACACAGUG
rnacentral:precursor_RNA from 12 species